GGCGCACGGGUGAGUAACACGUGGGUAAUCUGCCCUCGAGUUUGGGAUAACCCCGCGAAAGCGGGGCUAAUACCGAAUAAGACCACGGGGACCAAAGUCCCUGAGGUAAAAGAUGGCCUCUAUUUAUAAGCUAUCACUUGAGGAUGAGCCCGCGGCCCAUUAGCUAGUUGGUAGGGUAACGGCCUACCAAGGCUAUGAUGGGUAGCUGGUCUGAGAGGACGAUCAGCCACACUGGAACUGAGACACGGUCCAGACUCCUACGGGAGGCAGCAGUGGGGAAUAUUGCGCAAUGGGCGAAAGCCUGACGCAGUAACGCCGCGUGGGGGAUGAAGGUUUUCGGAUUGUAAACCCCUUUCGACCGGAACGAAUCUCCUCCUGGUAAAUAAUCAGGAGGAUCGACGGUACCGGGAGAAGAAGCCACGGCUAACUCUGUGCCAGCAGCCGCGGUAAGACAGAGGUGGCAAGCGUUGUUAGGAUUUAUUGGGCGUAAAGCGAACGCAGGUGGUUUGGUAAGUCAGGGGUGAAAGCCCACAGCUUAACUGUGGCACUGCCUUUGAUACUGCCUUUCUUGAGUGCAUGAGGGGGAAGCGGAAUUCCGAGUGUAGAGGUGAAAUUCGUAGAUAUUCGGAGGAACACCGGUGGCGAAGGCGGCUUCCUGGCAUGUAAGUGACACUCAUGUUCGAAAGCGUGGGUAGCAAACAGGAUUAGAUACCCUGGUAGUCCACGCCCUAAACGAUAGGCACUAGGUGUGGGAGGUAUCGACCCCUUCCGUGCAGCAGCUAACGCAUUAAGUGCCCCGCUUGGGG
rnacentral:rRNA from 1 species